ACCGCUGAGCCAUCUCUCCAGCCCACAUUUUUGUUUUUGAAUAAGAAAUUUACAAAGUGGGGCUGGAGAGAUGGCUCAGAGGU
rnacentral:pre_miRNA from 1 species